rnacentral:tRNA from 1 species
GAAGGUAUAGCUCAAGUGGUAGAGUGCAUGCUUAGAAUGCACAAAACCCUGGGUUCAAUCCCCAGAACCUCCC